GGACUGUAGUCUGCAACCCGACUACACGAAGCUGGAAUCGCUAGUAAUCGCGAAUCAGAAUGUCGCGGUGAAUACGUUCCCGGGUCUUGUACACACCGCCCGUCACACCAUGGGAGUCGGGAAUGCCUGAAGUCAGUGACCCAACCAUAUGGAGGGAGCUGCCGAAGGCAGGUCUGAUAACUGGGGUGAAGUCGUAACAAGGUAAC
rnacentral:rRNA from 1 species